GAGACUCCGUCUCAAAAAAAAAAAAAAAAAAAUUGAGGCUAUGUAUCUGGUUUCCUUACAGUUCCCUCUUUUAGGACUAUUAAUAUCUAAAUGAAUUAGUCAGUCAUUUCUCCUACCUUCUCAAUCAUAUCUUUCUUUUGAAUUAAAACUAAACCAAGGAAGACAGGCACUAAUAUCUUCCUCUAACUUGCAAAGGUAUCUCCAAGGAAAAAUCAAGAAUUCUUCACAUGUUCUACUUUUGGAAAAGUAGAUAUUCAAUAAAUAUACAGGUAAAGUUACAGUGUUUCAGAAUUUUCAUAACUGAAAGGAAUUUGGGGGUGGAGGUUGAUGGAGGAAAGUGUUGCCACAUCCACUGCAACCUUCUUUAUGACAAGCACUGUAGUAGGCACUCCACAUAAUUUUUUCAUUUAAUACUCUCAAAGAUUAUAUAUGGUAAGAACUGUACUGUUUUAGUCUCAUUUUGCAAAUAAGAAAAAUGCAAAUGAUAUAGGUUAAACAACUUCCCCAAGAUGGAAGAAUAUAACAAUAAUAAUUUACAUAUCCAGUAUGCAAACUCCCCUCAAGAUACUCCAUCAACAGUCUACAUUGCUUCUGUCCCAGCUCUGUAAUUUGUAAUAGAAAUACUUCAUCCAGAGCCUGUACUUAACUGGGGUGGUUUAUCUUAUAUUCAUACAACAAUGUUUUUCUCACUUUCUCUCCUUUGUAUUCUCUCACCCAAAGCCCUCUACAGAGCUGCCAGUCUCAUACUUCUAUAUUUUCAUACAGCCAAAUACUAUCUUUAACAUCCCCUCUCCUUCCUAAAACAUCUAUAUCUUUAAAUAAAAAAUAGACUGUGUUGCUCUGUACCAAUUAGUAGGCCCAUCCUUCCAAGCCCUCUUGUAAUAUGUGGAGCUUCAUGUUUACACAGAGUAAAAGAAGCAUGUCUAUUUUAACAGAUUAAACUUUGGUUUGAAAAUGAUGAAAAUAAAGCUUGGAAUACUAUGCUGAUCAAAUUUCCCUUAAAGUUGUAUCAGUAAAUCAUAUUCCCCCUUUUUUCUCCCUCAGCUCUUUUCCUGGAAAUUAAUAUAUCUUAUUAUUCUUUAUUGGAAGAUGCAAAGACCACGGCCCAGCACCUUUCUAUGCAUCAUUCUAAUGUUGGUAGCUCCUUACCUAAAUUGAAAACAAAACCAAAAAGUAAAACAAAACCUCGAGGUUACUAGCUCUGGGAUCUUGAGUAAGUCACCUUUUCCACCUUGUUUCCUCAGCUGUAAAAUGAGGAUUAAUAGUAAUACUUACUUGACAGGGUUAAGAGGAUUAAAGUGAAUUGAAUAAUCUAUAAGAAACUGCCAUAUGAACCAUAAAUUUAAUGAUUAUAAUGAUGAUUAUGAUGGUUCACAAGGCCACAACUCCAUUUGUAAUCAACAUACAAAAUCAAAUAUCUAAAUGUGCAACACUCAAGUAACUAGAGGCUUUUUACAUCUAUAAAUGGUGUUGAAAAUUUUAAGUUUCCCAGAUUGCCAGGUUUCAUCUUUUUCCCAUGGCAGAAAAGUCUAGGUUGGAUAAGGUGGUUUCUGUCAUUUUAACAUUUGCUGAAACUUUUUCUCACUAGAUUUGGUGCUUUCCCUGCUGAUAGUGGGCACAGGGAGCCAGAAUCUAGGACUUGGCUUGGUGGGAACCAGUCCUGAGCUGCCUUCCUCCUUGAGGAACAACAUUAGUCUGAGAUUCUAAAAUCAGGGUUCACUUUCUCAGGCAAAGGAGGGUGGUGCAAUAUGGAAGCUGGGGAUAUGCAUUCCUUCUCCCUUCCCUACUGAUCCUGCAAUAUGGAAGUCUCUGUGCUCAAAGUGCCCUCCAUCCUCUAUUGCUUAUUGCUCCACUAAUUUCCAAUUUGGUGGAGUUAAAAAGAAAUACCUCUGGUGGCCUUAAAGGUCAAAGGGAGCUGUGUGGUCCUUCUCACCAAAACCUGGCUGUGGCAAAGCUGAACAGAAUGAAGAGAAGUUUUGAGUCAUUAUGGGAAGGGGAGGAGCAAACCAUCCCUAGGGAGUUUGGAACAAAGUGCUUUAAGCAGCACCGAAGCACUGGGUAGCAGGGUGGGAGGACAAAAGGGGUCAGGAGGUAGAAGUAAGGCUCAGAAACGAGGCCCUCAGAUAAACACAUCUCUUUCACUUGCAUCCAGUUUUACCAAGAACCCACUCUUGUCUCCUUCUUGCCUCCUUAUAUAACAAGAGCAGCACCACCGGAUGCUAGGACAAUAAAAAUGUCUGCCAUCCUCACAAUCAUCCUCUUCCCCAUUUGUUAUGUGCUUACUGGGUAGCAGGCACUGUGCUAAGCACUUUAUACUCAUUGUUCAUCAAAUUAUCACAACACCGUAGAUAUCAUUAGCCUAUUUUGCACUUGAGAACACUGGGGUCCAAACGUUUGAUAAAAUAUUCAUGGUCAUACAAAUGGUAAGCACAGAGCUGGAAUUUGAACAUAAGCCUGCCUGACUUCAGGGAUUCUAAGCUUUUAAUUAUUAGGAGACAUUGACACUAGUUUAACUCUUCUCUUCUCUUUUAUUCCCUCCACCUAUCCACCCCCUAACUUCCUUCAACCAAAUGAGGCCAGUUUACAUAGCCACCUUCUGAGAAAAGUUACCACAGGUGGUUUCUGCUUCGUAAGUUGCUGGGUUGGUUUUGUGGCCAACCUUGUGUCCUGAGACCAUAUGAUCUUGGCCAGAAUAGAUUGUUCCAACAACUGCUGCUUAAGCCAAAGUCAACUAUAGGCUGGACUUGCAUUAUCUCAUUUAAUCCUCAUAAAAAAGCUUUAAAUUAAGUACUAAUACCAAUUGCAUUUUACAAGCGGGAAAACUGACAUUCAGAUAACUUAACUUACCUGCCUAAGGUGGGACAGCUAGUAAGAAGCAAAACUAUGAUUGCAAGGUAGGUUUAUCUGAAUGCUUGAACACUGUUCUAACUCCCAUUUUUUCAGAGAUCAAUAGAAUGGGCCUUGAACAAGCGAUGCUCUUGAAUGCAAGUUGUUAACAACUAAGAGAAAUUGCCCAGACACUGCAACAGGAGAUGCCAACAAAGUAACAGAGUCAGAGAAGAGCUGAGUCUUGGGAAUGAAAAAGUGAUGAGGGGAUGACUUCCACAGUGGCUAUCUGGUCAGUGGCUAUCUGGGAUUUCCACUCCGUGAGUCUCUGAUAUGCAGCCUUAGAACGUGUUGCCUGUGUUUCCUGAUUUACCCAUGUGGGUCUGUCACCCUCAUCACCUCAGGUUCAAGGAUUUGCAAACCUGAAAUCCACAAUGUCAGGGCACCAGAAAAAGCAGAGAAACAGUAUUGGGGAGUGGAAAAGCCCACCAGCCCUGCCUCAGACCACCUCCAUCCACACUCGGCCCUUACUAACUGUGAGAUCUCAAGGUGAGUUAUCCUCUCAGUACCUCAAUUUUGCCAUCUGGAAAAUGGGAAUGACAAUGAUAGCACUUGUAAGGUUCAUGUGACAAGUAAGUAGCACAUGUAAUAUGCUAGGUACAGCUCCCAAUACAGAAUAAAGACUUAGUCAACAUCAACAGCUAUCAUUAUUGUUAAGUAUUAAGAAAUCUGUUGCCUACUUAUGCUAUUCUUCCAUGUUCUAUAUGGUAUAAGCAUGUGGGAAUGUUAGAAGUUAGAGAUGAUAAAGGAGGAGGAGAAGGAGAUUUACAACCCUACACUCCCUCACUGCUGCAGAGAUUCUUCCUGGCUCUCACACGCUGGCAAGCAGCUGGCUCUCCGUCCUGGCAGAAAAUGCCCAAAAGAGGUAAAAGAUAGAGACUGCACACCAUCUGUGCAAACCAGGCUGCUCUUGUAGUUUUUAGACAAAAUCUAAAUGUAGUCAGAUAUGACCUGCCCUUUUAAGAUAGAAUUAUUCUAUUUCCUCCCUCCACCCCUCCCCGUCCCCCACUCUGUCCCUCACACAAAACUCCCCCACAUAUCUCAAGAAACUUUCAGCAUUUUGAAAGACAUACUCUGGGGUCCCGUUGUGACAGCCUUGUGCCACAUUAACUUCUCUGUCUUGUUCGCAGCAAAGAAGUCUUUGCUAAUUUCACAACAGGAAAGCAUGCAAGAAAUUCGAGAACAAAACAAAUCUACACGCAGAGCCCAGCAUCUUCAAGUAAACUCCCCGAGGUACAGACCCGAGGGUAGAUGAGUCCGGACUGCAGAUGAGGCAGCUGCCUCUUAAACUGCAAGGGGACAGAAAAAGUCAUUUGCCUCUGAAAAACCAACUCUGAAUACAAAUUGAAAUCUCGUUUUCUCCCUUGAAAAAGUCAUCUCGGCUGCAAGCAAAAAAAGCUAUUUCCUUACUGCAAUUAUGAAGCUAGAUAAUAAGAAAGUUGUUACCUUGAAACCUACUCGAAAAACUGAAAGUCAAGAACAAUUCUUCCCUCCCCAUAAAGCCUCUGGUCCCAUGACCAGCAAUCCUUUCUCAAGGCUCAUUAGAGCAAAGGCUAACAGGUGACCCAAGCGAUGAGUUUCCUGCAGGAGAAGCUGCGUUAUUGGUUGGAAGGCUGGGUGGAACCACAGAGGAGCUGCUCAAUGGGAACCGCUGCCUGGCUGUGAAUUGAUGAAAGUCAUCCACCAUUUCACAACUUUCACUUCCUACCUUUGAAGUCUAAUGAGCAUGAAUUGCCACAUCCAGACUAUCAAGAUUACCCCAAUGUAGAUGAGAACCUGAGCAAAUUAUUUUUAAACUGUGUAACAAAAUUAUUUUGAAAUCAAAACAAGGGCUACCCUUUGAAAGGAAGAUAUCCAGAGAUGAAGAGGACCCUGUGGUGGGCAGAAGGAGCAGAGAAAAAGGGAUGUAUCUGAAAGUGUUUCAAGAGUAUUUAGAAUGCACCCUUGUUCAAAAAAUGCCCCGUCCCUUCUUGUGGAGAGUAAUAGGAGAGGCAAUGCCUCUUUAGUCAGAGUCAUGGUUCUCCACUUUGGCUGCACACUAUAAUCACUUGGCCCAAUUAUAAAAAAUACUAAUGCCCAUCCCAACUCUCAGAGAUUGGAAUUUAAUUGAGUUUGGGGUAGGUUUCAGACAUUUUUUUUAAAAGGCCAAGAUUAUUUUAGAGUGCCGUCAGGGCAUUAAGAAGAUCUGGAUUCAAUUCUUUUUGUAUGAUCUUAGACAAGUUAGUGAGCCCUUCUGAACCCCAAUGUAUCCAUAAAAUAAAGGUUUUUUUUUUUUUUAAAUCUACUUCACAGAGCCAUGUUGAGGGGAAAAAAGAGAAUAAAUACAUGAGAACUCCCAACACAGACUCUGGCACAUAGGUGGCACUCAAAGUAACCUAAGGGUACUUGAAGGAAAUGAGAGUCAAAGUCCUUUCCCUUCUGUAGCACAAAGGGCCUCUCCACCCCUUUUCCCAAAGUUAAGUGAUUCUAUGUAUUCAACUAGCAACUGUGGGACUGAGGCCAUGUUGGGAGAGGGACUGAAGUAUGACCUGACAUCACCCAUGUCUUCCCAUUUCCAGGUAGUCAGGGAGGAAUGCCCUAACUGAGCUUGGGGAAGCCCUUGAAUGUUGGAGAAUGGCCAACUCUUCCAAAGUGAAAGUAUACAACCCAACAUGGCAGCAGGAGAAGGAAAAACAGAAAUUGCACGGAGGUCUCUGCUCUGAAGCCUGCAGAAUAACAAAGGAGUCUAUGAGAUGGAGAAAUAGAAGGGCGAAGGGAUCUUCACCGUGUGUGCCAUGACGCCUUGACACUGAUACCAAACAAUGUUGUGUCUGUCUCUAUAAUCCAGAGGAUGAGCCAUAUGGAUUUUGUGACAUAAAAAUCAGUGUGACAUAUGACUACCAUAAAAGAAGGAAUUAACAGACUAUUUUCUUAAUACUUGACUAAUAAACAUUUACUACAUGUACAGUUACUUGUUAUUGUACUUUAUGUUAUGAAAUUGGAGCAAGCAAGAAAAGAAUCCAAGAGAAAAUCAUUCCUUCCCUUCUCCAUUUAACUGUUCUUUCCUCUGCCCAGUUGGAAGAAGCUCUGUGGAGAAGAGACUGCAAUGUUCCCAAAUUGCAAAUAACAUGUCAUGAUUUAUUAUAGCUACAUUCCAUUGCUUAGCCUCCCCUAGAGCCCUUGCCAUAUUCUGCCCUUUUUGUCUCUGUUUUUUAAUGCAUGGAGCAAAUUCCAUCUUACUCCACCACAUGUAGGUGUCCAAAAAAUUCUGCUCUUUAUUUUUUUUAUAUCAACUUAAAUUCAUCUCAAGUCUCUGGCUCUCUGAGCUGGCAGGAAACAAACUGUCAUUACUGGAGUCCUCUUACCUCCUUGGCUUACACCAGAAUCUGGGGAAAGUGCAUCUAUAGAAACUGGGAGAAGGGUUUCUAAUCUCACACCUACCUUGAUCUCGUCUAAUAUUCUCACUGCCCAACCUUUCUGUUCCAAUGCUAAGUAGGAAAGGGGGAGUGUGGUGAGGGGACUUUGCCUCAGCUGGACGCCCUGGUGCUUGGAGUGGAACAUCUCUGAGACAACAUGCAGCUGUCCUUUCUGACAUAUUACCCAGCAGGACAUGACCACGGAACAGGCAAGAGUCCCUAUUACCCAUAGGCCCACCAACCUUCAUCCCUUCCUGGUGACCCAAAAUUUCCACUUUUUCUUGGUCUUCAAAGGUACCCCUUUAUUCUUCCCCAUUACCUUAUUUCUUUAGGGAAGCUUGCAUAAUGUUGACAAUGAGCCAGGGUAGGACUGGGAACCCACAAUGAUGAACAUCUUAACAAAGAUUUCCACCACUCACGCUUGUGUUAUCAUUUCCUCCCACACAGAAUUUCUCUUCGCUCCUCACCCCAUCCUCCAUUACUACCAAACCUCGAGUCCCAGAGGGAAGAGUCUGUUUAUUACUUAUUUUAUAUUUCCUAAAAUACCUAACAUGGGGAUUCACGACCACUGCAUUUGGGAGAGCAAAUCCCUCCCAGCAGCCCCUACAAAUUUUCAUUGAUAUGUAAAAAGAAAAUUUUUAUUUUUGCUACAACUGAGUGUAAAUAUUGUCACAGCAAUGCCUGAGAUGAGAAACAAAGUAAGUUAGGCGGCUGGGUGUUUAAAAACUUUGUUGUAACUAAGAAGUCAUCAGGUCGGCACUACAGAAAAAUUGCAAGAACUUCGCCUCCAUGAAGAAUACAGCCAGGGCAGAACAAGCUCUUCUCUAACAGCCACCAUCCUGACAGCAACCAAUAACCCCAACCUUGUACUGACAUUAUGGUAGCAAUAGCACUGUAAUCAUUGCUGACCUAAUUAGUAUUGUUGUCAAUCAUUUAAUUAUCUCAUGUGUCUCAAAAAAUUAUAGUAUUUGAAACAUGCCUCUGUUGCAGUUACUAAAAGAUGUCCACUCUGGCCGGAUGCGGUGGCUCACGUUUGUAAUCCCAGCACUUUGGGAGGCCAAGGCAGGUGGAUCAUGUGAG